rnacentral:lncRNA from 1 species
UGAUCAUAUUUUUUUGAUGGCUUUUGUUAAUUUAUUCUAAACAAAGUAUUUUUAUAAACAAAAUAAACAUAAUUUAAAGUAAUUAUAUCCAGAAUUUUUCUAAAUUAAUUUCCAUUUAUAUAGUCAGACAGAUGGCCAUUGGUUAAGCAUUUGCCAAUAAUCUGAAAGAAUGUAUCUAAUUCUCACCUCCCAUUCCUCUAGAUUUUUCAGGAGUGUUCAAAGUUCAAUUGGGAGAUGUGUAGCAUGUAGUGGACACUGGAAUGCCCUAUCACUUAGUAAUAACAGGUUAGAAAAUGGAGUAAAAUCACAGAGGAAAGUUUGCUAUUUAUGCAUUAAAAUAUUUUUUGUAGUGGCACUAAAAUCUUCCAGUCAAAUCUGAAAAUAGCUCUUAUACAGAAUCUCAAUAAUAUAUGCAAAUUUCAUUCAAAUGGGC